rnacentral:lncRNA from 1 species
UCUUACGUUAUUAUUUAAUGUAACAUAGCUUAAACCAUACCUCACCGUGAGUUUAUUUUAUAUAUUAUUUAUUGUAUCAGUCACCUUUCUAAUGCAGUCAAUGCAACCAAAAAUUUCAGCCAAAUAUGGGUUAGUAUAAGAAUAAUACUUUAAUACAAUACAAUACAAGUUAUCAAACGCAUCCUAAAGGGAUGUAUCCUGAUAAAGUGGUUAAUGGCUCCAGCAACUAGUCAUGGGUGGGGUGAGAAUUGACAAAAGGCAUGGGAAGGGUGGCUUUCGGUUGUGGGGAAUAGGCCCAAUGGGCCAACAAAUUUAUCAUCUUUUGAGUCGGUGGUGCCACAGAACUAUACUUAAUUUGUACUUGCAUGACAAAAAAGAGGGCCGCUUUGAGCCACUCAACUUUAAGCUUAAUAAUUCCUUGAGAAAACAAAUAAUAAUAAUAAUAAUUUUCUUCUUAUUACACAACUCUACCGAUUUAAAAUUGACUAAAAUAAAUCAAAUUGAAAUUCGGAAAACUCAAACAAACAGGCAAUGCGGUCUUGUUUUUAUUCUGGCUAUGAGAAAAUUAAAAUAGGAAAGAAGAAGAAAGAAAUAGAAAAGAAUUGAAAAAUCGUUUUUAGAGAAACAACAAAGAAAGAAGAUAGGGUUUUCGGGUCCUUCAAUUUAAAAUAUUUUUCAAUAGAAUCACAGAUGUGCACGUGUGUGGUGACCCUCCGUAGGCUUGCAUGUGCAUGUGCGUUGUCACGUGUUGUCGUGGUAGACACUUUACAUGCAUGCCUAAUUUUUUCUUGCGUUGGGUCCUUCAUGCUUUUGCGAACCGGUAAACGUGGACCCUCAUCAUUGGAUGGAAACCUUUUGGUCAUGCUCUAGUUUAUUGGUUGAUUAAUUUCUUAAUUUAUUGCUUGCAUCUUCUAACUUGUUGGCCAGGCAUUUAAAGUUUGAUUUCUUUAGAACCCCCGGGGCAUCUACCUACAUGAGUCAAAAGAAAUUCUGGCCACUAAUAAAUUGUGAAUAUAUACGUAUUUUUCUUUUUUCAUGAUUCUUAUGGAUUAAAUUAGAUUCAUAGGCUUUUGGUGUAAAUUAGUGGAGUCAGUAAAAUCUUUUAUUUUAAAAAUUAGAGGUUUGAGAUUCGAAUCUCGUUCACAUAAAUAGAAGGGAAUACAUUAUUCAUAGACUAAAUUAAAUAAUAAAAAAAAGAUAGAUUCAUAACCUCAAUGCCACAAGGACCUUACAUUAAUUUAAAUUUAAUAUUGUAAAACUCACAGGACUAAAUUGAUUACUGAAGGAACAAUGUUAGUUUGCCAAAGAAACAUAUCUCUUCUUACACAUGUGAAUGGGUGGAUUCUUCCAUAUGCUUUUGUGUGAAAGAUAAUUUUCCAAUUAUUUGGAGGUAAAAUUGAUUUGUUUUGGGAUACAUUAUAACCAUGCUAUAACAAAAAUUGUCUAGACAUCAAUCGAGUAGUUCUCUUAUUGAAAAUAUUAGAAGAUUGUAAUGUAGUAUCAGAAAAUGAUAAUUAAAUUGAUCUAAUAUCUAUUGCAAUAAAUUUGGUUGAAUUUUUUCUUAAACAAUCAAUAUAAAUAUCUGGUUUUAAUAUGUGACGCCAUACUUGAAUGAAGAAGCUAACAGCUCUGCUCGUAGGUGGAACCGGGCAAUUUAAUCACGAGAGAGAAAGAGAUUUGUUUUAAUUAAUUUAAUUGUAAACAGAUCCUUUAAUAGAUAUUAAUUAUUUAUAAAGCUAGAUUCCCCGGGUUUUGCCCAUACAGUCUAAACAAAUGUCCCAAGAAACUUUUCUUUUUCCAUAUGAAAAUAAAAAUUUUGCGACUUGGAAACUAAUUUUAUGGUGGGUAUGCUUCACAGCUCCAAAAGUUGUUACUUUUUUUUUUUCUAUGAUAUGAUAAUGUAUUCAAUCAUGCAUUGGGGCCAAAAAAAGAAAAGAAAAAACUCAUAAUUUUAAGGUACUUGAAUGCGACUGAUGUUAAUGGCACAAGAACUUCCAUUUUCAAUUAUAUAUAUACAUAUAUUCCCUUUGACAUGGAUGAACAAAUCAUCCAAAUCGUUAGAUAAAAAAAAGGAAUUAAUUUAUCGUUAAUGUUGAUUUUGACCUUGGGGUUAAUCUAAAUUAAUCCUAUCAAUUAGAUAGUAACCCCAACUACAUAUAUAUUAGUCAGCUCUUGUUUCACAUCUCUAAAUUAAUCUUGAUAAAAGAGUAAGAAAGAGUUGCAACACUCCAAGUAUUUGCAAACAAAAUAAUUCAUGUUCAUUGAUGUAUGAAUAUUUACUUGAUAAAGCCAUAAAAUUGACUCAAAUUGAUUAUUAAAGAAAUCCCAAUUCUGCUUAUACAAUCAACUGGCACAAUUGGUUAAAAGUAUAUUCAUACCACAGUAUUUGUUGUCUUUGAAUUCAAGCCCAAACUUAAAGUAUACAAUUGAAAGUAAGGAAUUCUUGCGGUAUUUUGAUCAACCCAACCAAAGAAUUGUUUAAUAAUAAAACGUUGAUCAAAUUAAAUGAAAAAAAAAUUCUCAUGUGGCUAAGGUUUAAAAAUUAUAAAACAGACUACUGAUUAAAAAAUCAAAAUGAAUGAUAUGGAUAGUAAAAUGCGGUGAUGUAAGGUUUUGCCUCUAUGCGCAUGCAGUCAUGCAUGACAAAUCAUUUUCCAAAUGGUCAAUACGAAAAGGACUCGGCUCAUUUGAAAUCUUCCUCACAUUGUUACGUAAUUAUUUAUGAUUAAACAAUGUUUCAUUUUUAUAAGCAACCAAGAAAUUAGAAUUAAUCAAGAUGCAUGAACAAUCGACAAACAUAUAUAUAUUUGAGAAUAUUGUAUCCCCUCAAGACUUAACCUAUUUUUGAUUCCCCAGCCUCCUCUAACUUUCUCAUCUCAUGGGACUCACUUUAAUUUCAAAUAUUUAUUCUCAAGUCCCUAUCGAGGGAAAAUAUAUCCAAAUCUGCAGAGGAUUAAUUGCGACGUUAAAUUCGAAUUCGGCAUGUCAAUUUGCUGUGCAAGUCGAUUCGACUAUAGUAAACUUAAUCUAUAUACAUUGCACCAGCACGAUAUUAUAUUAGAAUAUGUAUAAAUAUUCAACGCAGUGAACCAUUCAAGUGAAAUUCAUGUUACUUUGAGUCAUCUCAAAUUAAUUGAAAUUCAACCUAAUAUUAGUGUCUAAUAUAAAACUCGACAAAUGAUUUGAUUAAACCUUAAUCUUUUAGGUUAAUUAACCAUUUUAAUCGGACCCAUUUCAUACCUCUGCAUAUUUCAAAAUAAAUUGAAAGCAUAUGUAAAACUGAUGGGUACUGAUGGGCUAACCGAACAGCAAUUCAUGCUGUGUUUCGUAGCAUUUUGUGUUUGAGAAUUUUAAGAAUACGGAGGCAAAGAACAAAGAAAAUUUCUUAGGAUUUGAAACGUGUUUGCACACUUUUCUUUAAGGUUUUAUUUGCCCUCUCCAAUCUUAAUUUGUUAUAGAGUUUUAAUAGCAAAUUACCCCCAAGAUAUAUCAAAUUCUGAAUACAAUCUCUAGCAAAUAAGAUUGUAUUUUCAAAACAUAUAUGAAAUUUGUAAAAUCUUAUAUUAAUCUAAUUGUAUGUCUAUCUUUAAUGAAGAAUAUGUUUAUUUGAAAGAAUACAACCAUUAGAAAUGGUACUUCUUCAAAGAUAAUCUUUUGGUUUGAAUUUACAUCGAUUGACAAUUAAAAUUUUCAAGUUUGCUAACUUUUUUUCCAGUUGACGUCUCUCUGAAAAUAAACGGUUAGCCGUUUUCUCAAUAACGGUGAGCCGUUUUCUCUAAAAUAUCAAAUUAAAGAUUGAAAAAUAUUACAAUCUCUCUUACAUUUUGAACGUUACUUAAUCAUGUCAUGCUUUGUCUGAAUGUCAGGGCAUAGCCUUGGUAAUGAUUGUAACAAAUAAAUGUUAUCUCAGCAACAGUGACAUUACAUCACCUGUUAUUACUAAUGUAACUUAGAAUAUUCAACUCUUUUGAACUUUAUUAUUGAAGCAACAGCUGGUGUUUUUUCAUGCCUUUUCCCCGAAUUUUUCUCCGGCCAAGUGUUGUUUGUGAUCCAAGAUUAGACUGAAAAAUAAGUAGCUACUGCAAAAAGAAAAGUACAUGAAAUCAAUAUUAAAAUUUAAAAGAUAGUUCACAGUAAGUCAGUAACUAGGCUAUUCAUUUUGUUAAUUGUUAAUGCCAUUCGUCCAGUGUUAUGGUACAAUAAUGCCGUUGUACUGUAAUAUAUAAUUCGCGACAAAUGACUCAAAAAGUUUUGACUUCGCUUACUCCACGUAUGGUGAAGUAUUUAUUAUAGGCUGGCCCUAAGUUAUGUUAGGUCGUAACUUACGACCUUCUCACAGCAACAGUAUCACUAAAUUAACGUAACUUAGGGCCUCCCUUUAUUAUAUGAGGACUAUGUGUACACUACAGUAGUGUAAAUUUUGUAUUCUAAUUUUAUAUUUAUUUACUCUAUUUUU